AACUGCUCGAAGCCGAAGUGUGGAUCAUCUGCGAUGGACCAGUGCAUCAGUCAGGGAAGAAGCAGGUAGUUUUCGGCGCACGCGGUGACACGAACGUCGACGUAACCGUCUACGCCGCGAAGCGACCGUUGCACAGUGGUCACUACGGAAACUGGUCGCCAAAUCCGGCGAAUCUGCUCGCACGCUUGCUC
rnacentral:misc_RNA from 1 species